rnacentral:lncRNA from 1 species
UAGGAUUGCUUUUUGAGUGGGAAUGUAUAGCUCUCAGGGACAUGCGAAAUGUAUCUGGUAAUGUCUGUAAAGCACUUGAAAUGUUUUUUUUUCUUUUAGCCACUUUUCCUCAGGGAUACUUUGUCUCCCGUACUUCUAAUUCCAAUGAUAAAGAAUAAUUGUCAAUUCUACACUUAGUGGGUUGUGCAGAGUGACUCACGAAGCUAUUUACAACACAUCCAGAACUCACGAUUACAUUUCUCAUCAUGAAGAUCUGCCUUUCUAACUUGUGACAUUUAGAUACCACUUUCAGCUUGCAGGAGUGGCAGCUAUAACUUCGUGGUCCUUAGGGAAAAACUUUACUACCGGAGUAGAAGAAUGUAGUAAAAAGGAGCGUAGGUUUGGAAAGAACAUUUGGUACCUGACACCUGGCUCUCACAUUUAUGAGCUACACAAUCUGGCAAAUCACUUUACCUCCUGGACUCCAGCUCUCUUACCUGUAAAAUGAAGACAAUGGCACCUGCCACUCAAGGCUGUUUGUGUGUCUCGAAAAAGAAAGAAGAGAUGGAGGAAGAAAGAAGGAAGUUAAAGAAGAUGAAUGAGGAGCACAAGGAAAAAGAAGGUUGGAGAAGACGUUAUUAUAGACAGUUGAAGCGAACAGAGCCAGGGCGAGGAGCGGCAGGAGCAGCAGUCGGUACCGCUGCAGCUUCGCUGUGGUUCCUCAUGCCCUGUGGAAGAGUUAGUCUGUCACGCUCAGUCCAAGGUCCCUCCUCUCCUUCCUUUUUCCUUCUUUCCUUAUUCACUGAAAAGUAAUCAAAUCCUCAGCCUACAAUCUUCAUUCAGCUUCAUUAUUCUACUAACAGCAUCCA